rnacentral:rRNA from 1 species
UACGGGGGGGGCAAGCGUUGUUCGGAAUUACUGGGCGUAAAGGGCUCGUAGGCGGCCCACUCAGUCGGAUGUGAAAUCCCCAGGCUCAACCUGGGAACGGCAUCCGAUACUGGCGGGCUUGAAUCCGGAAGAGGGAUGCAGAAUUCCAGGUGUAGCGGUGAAAUGCGUAGAUAUCUGGAGGAAUACCGGUGGCGAAGGCGGCAUCCUGGACCAACACUGACGCUGAGUGAGCGAAAGCCAGGGGAGCAAACGGG